GACGAACGCUGGCGGCGCGCUUAACACAUGCAAGUCGAGCGGGAACCGGGCCUUCGGGCCCGGGGACAGCGGCGAACGGGUGAGUAACACGUGGGUAAUCUGCCCUCGGUACUGGGAUAGCCCAGGGAAACCCGGAUUAAUACCGGAUAGCCCUUCGAGCCUUCGGGCUCGCAGGAAAAGGUAGCUUCGGCCUCCGACCGAGGAUGAGCCCGCGGCGGAUUAGCUUGUUGGUGGGGUAACGGCCUACCAAGGCGACGAUCCGUAGCUGGUCUGAGAGGACGAUCAGCCAAACUGGGACUGAGACACGGCCCAGACUCCUACGGGAGGCAGCAGUGGGGAAUCUUGCCCAAUGGGCGAAAGCCUGAGGCAGCGACGCCGCGUGCGGGAAGAAGGCCCUCGGGUUGUAAACCGCUUUCAGGAGGGACGAAGCCACUCGGGUUAAUAGCCCAGAGGGUGACGGUACCUCCAGAAGAAGCCCCGGCUAACUACGUGCCAGCCGCCGCCGUAAAAC
rnacentral:rRNA from 1 species